UCCCGGGUGGUCUAGUGUUUAGGACUCUGCGCUUUCACCCCUGGGGCCCAGGUUCAGUCCCUGGUCUGGGAA
rfam:Sus scrofa chromosome 3.